rnacentral:tRNA from 1 species
CCCUCAUUAGUAUAGUGAUAAGUAUCCCUGUCUGUCACACGGGAGACUGGGGUUCAAUUCCCCAACGGGGAG